GAAGUGGGAGUAAGUAGAACUUGGUUCUGGUCUCAGCUCUUUGGCCAUCUUGCUCUACAAUCCUAGGUGAGCAAACUGAGACCCAGAAAAGUCAAGUAAUGUGCCUGGGAUCACAUGAGAAGAACCAAGCUUUUUUCAUGGUUCAAACACUUUAGAGUUUUUUUCUGGAUGACUGAAACUACUGACAGAAGAUUCGGGAUACAAAGGAACCACAAUGACAUGGGAGUUUCAUCCUGUGUAAAAUAAGGGGACUGGCAGCAAAUUAGUGAAAUCAAAACCAGCCUCUAUCACAAGGGUUGUCGGAAGACACACUUCUACACUGUUGAUGGAGCCACGAAUUGACCUAAAAACAACUUGGAAGGAUAGAGUGACAACUCUUCACAUGUCUUGGUUCCCCUACUGGGUGUAUUCCUGAGGACAGAAAAUCAGGAAGAACAGCCCAGAACUCAGGUA